GACAGAGGGGGCAAGCGUUGCUCGGAAUUACUGGGCGUAAAGGGCGCGUAGGCGGGAUGGCAAGUCGGUCGUGAAAGCCUUCGGCUCAACCGAAGAACGUCGGCCGAUACUGCCGUUCUUGAGGGAUGCAGAGGAGACUGGAAUUCCCGGUGUAGCGGUGAAAUGCGUAGAUAUCUGGAGGAACACCGGUGGCGAAGGCGACAUCCUGGACCGGUAUUGACGCUGAGGCGCGAAAGCCAGGGGAGCAAACGGG
rnacentral:rRNA from 1 species